AAGGCGCGCGAUACAGGGUGACAGCCCCGUACACAAAAGCGCAUGUGCUGUGAGCUCGAUGAGUAGGGCGGGACACGUGGUAUCCUGUCUGAAUAUGGGGGGACCAUCCUCCAAGGCUAAAUACUCCUGACUGACCGAUAGUGAACCAGUACCGUGAGGGAAAGGCGAAAAGAACCCCGGCGAGGGGAGUGAAAAAGAACCUGAAACCGUGUACGUACAAGCAGUGGGAGCACCCUUUGGGGUGUGACUGCGUACCUUUUGUAUAAUGGGUCAGCGACUUAUAUUCUGUAGCAAGGUUAACCGAAUAGGGGAGCCGGAGGGAAACCGAGUCUUAAUUGGGCGUUAAGUUGCAGGGUAUAGACCCGAAACCCGGUGAUCUAGCCAUGGGCAGGUUGAAGGUUGGGUAACACUAACUGGAGGACCGAACCGACUAAUGUUGAAAAAUUAGCGGAUGACCUGUGGCUGGGGGUGAAAGGCCAAUCAAACCGGGAGAUAGCUGGUUCUCCCCGAAAGCUAUUUAGGUAGCGCCUCGUGAAUUCAUCUCCGGGGGUAGAGCACUGUUUCGGCUAGGGGGCCAUCCCGGCUUACCAACCCGAUGCAAACUGCGAAUACCGGAGAAUGUUAUCACGGGAGACACACGGCGGGUGCUAACGUCCGUCGUGAAGAGGGAAACAACCCAGACCGCCAGCUAAGGUCCCAAAGUCAUGGUUAAGUGGGAAACGAUGUGGGAAGGCCCAGACAGCCAGGAUGUUGGCUUAGAAGCAGCCAUCAUUUAAAGAAAGCGUAAUAGCUCACUGGUCGAGUCGGCCUGCGCGGAAGAUGUAACGGGGCUAAACCAUG
rnacentral:rRNA from 1 species